rnacentral:rRNA from 1 species
ACAAUGGAGAGUUUGAUCCUGGCUCAGGAUGAACGCUAGCGGCAGGCUUAAUACAUGCAAGUCGUGGGGCAGCGCGGGUAGCAAUAUCUGGCGGCGACCGGCAAACGGGUGCGGAACACGUACGCAACCUUCCUUCAAGUGGGGGAUAGCCCAGGGAAACUUGGAUUAAUACCCCGUAAUAUUAUGAGGUGGCAUCAUCUUAUAAUUAUAGCUUCGGCGCUUGGAGAUGGGCGUGCGGCUGAUUAGGUAGUUGGCGGGGUAACGGCCCA